rnacentral:misc_RNA from 1 species
UAUACACCAAACCUCAUCUUAUACCCAACAUAACACCUAGCAAGAUACUGAGUUUUGAGUUUAUCGAAGGCGAAAUCAUAAAGGUUGGUUCAGUUAUUAGGUGGAAAUAUAACGAUGAUGGAAAAGAUAAGAUUGUAGAGGAAGUGUUUGAAGCCAUUGAUCCUGAAAGUAAAUCAAUCACUUCGAAAAUAAUUGGCGGAGAUAUGUUAGAGCUGUAUGAUUCCUUCACUUUUAUUUCGUCAAGUGAUCAGCAAUGGGCUACAUGGACAUUUCUGUACAAAAAGAAAACUGAAGAAACUCCGGAACCUCUUGCUCUAUUGGGUUUUCUCAUUGGUGUGACAAA